rnacentral:rRNA from 1 species
GAUGAACGCUGGCGGCGUGCCUAAUACAUGCAAGUCGAGCGAACAGAUAAGGAGCUUGCUCCUUUGACGUUAGCGGCGGACGGGUGAGUAACACGUGGGUAACCUACCUAUAAGACUGGAAUAACUCCGGGAAACCGGCGCUAAUGCCGUAUAACAUUUAGAACCGCAUGGUUCUAAAGUGAAAGAUGGUUUUGCUAUCACUUAUAGAUGGACCCGCGCCGUAUUAGCUAGUUGGUAAGGUAACGGCUUACCAAGGCAACGAUACGUAGCCGACCUGAGAGGGGGAUCGGCCACACUGGAACUGAGACACGGUCCAGACUCCUACGGGAGGCAGCAGUAGGGAAUCUUCCGCAAAGGGCGAAAGCCUGACGGAGCAACGCCGCGUGAGUGAUGAAGGUCUUCGGAUCGUAAAACUCUGUUAUUAGGGAAGAACAAAUGUGUAAGUAACUGUGCACGUAUUGACGGUACCUAAUCAGAAAGCCACGGCUAACUACGUG